rnacentral:rRNA from 1 species
UACUCCUACGGGGGGCAGCAGUGGGGAAUAUUGCACAAUGGGGGAAACCCUGAUGCAGCGACGCCGCGUGAAGGAAGAAGUAUUUCGGUAUGUAAACUUCUAUCAGCAGGGAAGAAAGUGACGGUACCUGACUAAGAAGCCCCGGCUAACUACGUGCCAGCAGCCGCGGUAAUACGUAGGGGGCAAGCGUUAUCCGGAUUUACUGGGUGUAAAGGGAGCGUAGGCGGCGAUGUAAGUCAGAAGUGAAAGCCCGGGGCUCAACUCCGGGACUGCUUUUGACACUGUAUGGCUAGA